GGGUCAUUUCCAAGAAGUGCUGAGGGGCUGUGAAACCAACAGCUGUGACACUCUGAGCAAAGUCUGAAGUUCUCUGCAGGAUGCCAGCCACUCAACAGUGCUCUGACUCAGCCUCAUAAUCAUACCAUC
rnacentral:snoRNA from 1 species